UACGUAGGGCGCAAGCGUUGUCCGGAAUUAUUGGGCGUAAAGAGCUCGUAGGCGGUUUGUUGCGUCGGCCGUGAAAACUUGGGGCUUAACCCCGAGCCUGCGGUCGAUACGGGCAGACUUGAGUUCGGCAGGGGAGACUGGAAUUCCUGGUGUAGCGGUGAAAUGCGCAGAUAUCAGGAGGAACACCGGUGGCGAAGGCGGGUCUCUGGGCCGAUACUGACGCUGAGGAGCGAAAGCGUGGGGAGCGAACAGG
rnacentral:rRNA from 1 species